GACGAACGCUGGCGGCGUGCUUAACACAUGCAAGUCGAACGGAAAGGCCCUGCUUUUGUGGGGUGCUCGAGCGGCGAACGGGUGAGUAACACGUGAGUAACCUGCCCUUGACUUUGGGAUAACUUCAGGAAACUGGGGCUAAUACCGGAUAGGAGCUCCUGCUGCAUGGUGGGGGUUGGAAAGUUUCGGCGGUUGGGGAUGGACUCGCGGCUUAUCAGCUUGUUGGUGGGGUAGUGGCUUACCAAGGCUUUGACGGGUAGCCGGCCUGAGAGGGUGACCGGCCACAUUGGGACUGAGAUACGGCCCAGACUCCUACGGGAGGCAACAGUGGGGAAUAUUGCACAAUGGGCGGAAGCCUGAUGCAGCAACGCCGCGUGCGGGAUGACGGCCUUCGGGUUGUAAACCGCUUUCGCCUGUGACGAAGCGUGAGUGACGGUAAUGGGUAAAGAAGCACCGGCUAACUACGU
rnacentral:rRNA from 1 species